AAGUCACCAACCGUGAGAUCACGACCUAAGCCCAAGUCCGACGCUUAACCGACGGAGCCACCCAGGCGCAUCUCAAAAGCCUUUAAGAUAUUUAUGACAAUGAUAAACAUAUGUUUUCGCCAACUGUUUUCACAGGCAUUAUCUCCACUGCUGCAGAUAACCCUGUAAAGGAGGAGUUAGCAGCUUCCUUUUCUAAAUAACAUAACCACCCAUGUAUAUGGGCUUUAUAUAUACGAGGCACUUUACACAUAUGAAGUCAUUUUAGUGUCCCAAGCAACACGAAAAGGAGGCACAACUGUCCGCAGCUUGCCAAUGAGGAAAUGCUUAGAGGAACUGACCUGUCCAAGGUCACACACCCAGCAGGUGAUGAGCUGCGGUUCAAGCCUGGCUCUCCCAUCCCCGGGACCCGCAAACUUUGUCUGUAAACGGCCAGACACUAAAUAUUUUCAGCUUUGCAGGCCUCGUGGUCUGUGUCCCAGCUACUCCACUCAGCCAUUAGGACAAAAAAAAAAAAAACAGACACGGACGAUACAGAACAGACAUGCCUGGGUGUUCCAAUAAAACUUUAUUUACAAAAAACAGACAUGAGCUGAAUUUGGUCCACAGGCUGCGAUCGGCCCGUGUCUGUUUCAGACUCGAAACCCGCCUUCGGGUUCGGCCCUGGCAACGUAUCUUUCCCACUCUCUCUCCCUACCUGUGCCGCUACUAAGAGUUACGUUUUCGGUCAGAGACCCCUGGCUCUGGAGAGACUGAGUCGGCCUCUCGUUUCUUGAGGGAAUCACAAAGCUCUUGGAAUUUACAACUGCUAGGAAUUAUUAGUGACUGCCAUAACAGAACACGGGGGGGGCGGCCUUUUAAAAUUGUGAUUUUUUAGUAGCUGUGACUGGGGAACUUUUGAAGAGGAAAGUGUUCGAGUUUUAGAAAGAUACCUCAGCGGGGCACUGUGGCUGUGGAAGGAGCUUCUCCUCAGAGGAGAUCGUUUUCUGAAGUCUGUACGACUGGGAAAUAGAAUGAAAAACAUCUUAAGGCACGAGAAGGUGACUGAAAGGAAGACGGCCGCUCGUGCGUGCGCAGGGAGAGGGUGCAGGAGAGAGAGAGUUCCUUCUUAUCACCCAAAAAUUUAGCAUCUGCCACCACCCCCACCCCCCCCCCCCCCGCCACCCCACCCCCGGCAUCCUGAGCAAUCACUCGUGUGCUUUCUUCUCCGUCGAUGCGCCUGUUCUGGACAUUUCCUAUCAAUCACACGCGGCGUGACGCUUUGCGACUGGCUUCUUUCGUUCAGCAUCGCGCUCUCAAGGUCCGCCCACGCGGCAGCACGUGGCAGCACUUCCUUCCUUUUUUGUGGCCCAGCGCUGUCCACGUUUUAUUCACCCACCUGCCAGCUGACGGGCAUCUGGAUCGUUCGUACGUUUUGGCCAUCAGGGAUAACGCAGCGUUCCACACGUGCGUGGGUGUGCCCUGUCGCGGUCACUUCUCUUCCGCGUUAUACCUACAGGUGGCAUUUUCCGGGUUAUGUGGAAGAUGCGUGGUUGGCCUUUUAAGGAGUAUAUACUCAAAGGACGGAAAAUGCUGUUAGGAGCACCCCGGGCCCACCAUCCAGGGCCACCCAGUGCCAACCUUCGCCAGUGCUGACUCAUCUGCCUCCCGUCCUGCCCCCCACACCCCCGCCCCGUGACUCUCUGAAGAGUUCCAGAGCCAAUUCCAGCAGUGACUUGAGGAUGCUCCCUUGGCUGAGAGGUCGGCGCUUGUCUUUUGUCCCAGACCAACAGAGCCUCCUACACCCACAUCCUUGCGCGGACGGAAGUGGGGAGAAUGGGCGAACUGGGGCACGGUCCCGAGUGGGUCGACGUGGGAAAGGAAACAGCUCCUGAGAAAAGCAGGACUGGCUACAGAGUUGGCACAGGGAAAGUGUGGAGCCCUCGGUUCACAAAGUAUUAAGGAGUUCAAGAUGACAACAUCGGAGCGUUAAAGCAAACAUGGGCCUUGUGCAACCGUCCGUGUCACGUCCCCAGGAGGCCAGCGAAAAGGGUGCCCAGGCAGAACGAGUUCAUCAGACACGGGAAGUUAGAGCCUUGGUGCCUAGGAGAGACCUAAGCACCCCUCACCUCCAAGGCUUGGGACGUUUCCAAGGAAAGUUGGGUCUCCCAUGUGGGAGACAGUGGCACGUGGGACAGAGUUCAAGCCUAUUCCAUUGGAAUCUCCAAAAAUAAGAUGACCCCAGUUGACUUGUGGGUUAUAAGUACUUAAAAAAAAAAAGAAUUAGCCACUGGCCUUAAGCCUUCCUCCCUAAGAGCCUGCGGUUGUUUUAUUUAAGCCACGCCAUUUUGUCCUGGACCCUGAGUGUCCCCUGAUCUCACGGCAGGUGACGGGGCUUCAGGCUGAAGAACAGAGGCCCCCUGGUUAGCAAACAGUCCAGCGCAGCGGCAGGACCCGGGAUGCCCUUUCGAGGCAGGUGGCCACGGCGGACACCGGCAACCAAUCAUGGCGCCCCAAACCCUCUCAGCUCCAAAGAGCUCCACCGACCAAAUGAACCGGAUUUCCCGCGCUCGCGUCUCAACCCAGGAACGUAUCAGCUUUACUCAAGACCGCGAGAGACUCGAAGCCCCCAAGUGUGUGUUUGGAUGAUGCCCAGCGAGGCCCUCACGCCACCAGGGCCCUGUCACGGAGGGCAUACGACACGGCUGGGAAGGGGGGCCAGGGGACGAGAGAGGGACUCCUUGAGGAAAGAACAGAUAAGGACCUUGCACCUCCUCCGGGGGCAUGUGCAAUAAGUGAACGUUCACCCACGCACUCCGUUCUCCACCUACACCUUCACCUGUGGGUCAAGCAAUGCCCCGCUCAACACAGGGGCGGACCUAUAGGGGCAGGAGAGGCCAUCGCAAACCAAAGGUGAAAAAAAAAUUUUUUUUUUAAUUUGAUCAGAGUAACAUAAUGGCAGUAGCCAAAAAGAACUACGCCAGGUCUGAGUAAAUCCCGCAGGCAGCUUUGGGGCUGGGGGACAGAGGAGUGGAUCUCAAAGCGUCUGACCCAGGAUUGAGGCAAUUCUCGGCAGAGUCAAGGUAGAAGCAGCACAGCCAGCAGAUGUCUCCGGAGGGGUUGGGUGCCUCUGGGUUUUUGUUGUUGUUGUUGUUGUUGUUGUUAUUUGUGGGUCUUGUGUUUCGUGGGGGGUUUUUUGUUUUUUAUUUUUUGUUUUUUGCAAGCACCUGCUUCCCGCCUUCUGCCAACAGACCGGACGCCAUGUGCAAAUAUGGCCGAAGGUGGCCGUCACCCAUCCUUCAGCUAUAGUAAUUGGGCCAAACACGGGCACGUGACCAAAUAUGGCCAAUCACCGCCUCCCACUUCUGUGCCUGCCCACAAGCGGUCCGCGUGGGGUCAUGGGACCCAAGCAAGGCCAGACAAGGCUCGUCCUACCUGGACCUGGAGGAAAAGCUGCCUCGUCCCCACUCUCUGGCGUCCAGAGAUACCCGCGGUCUCAGAGACUGAGGAGGCACAUAGUACUCAUCUGGAUAAUCCAGCAUAAACUCAUCUCCAGAUCCUUGACUUAAACACCUCUUUUGCCACACAAGAUAAGCCCGCCAGUAAUUUUAGCGAAUGAGCCGUGGCACACAUAAAGGCCAGAGGAUGGAAACGCUCCGGGUUUUGAUAAAAAAGCAGUUCUGGCUCGGCUCGCCCCUGCUAGUCGCGCAAAGACCUAUCCGGAGAAGGGCUGAUGAAUUGAGGAACAAGAAACGAGGCCAACGUGAGUCUCCUUUCCAGCGCUGUGCUAAUAUGAAACCAAACAACUUGAAAUUGUUCCAAGAGGGGAUUAAAGCAACAUGCUAUUUUGAGUGAUUGCUUAAUUUAUUGAGCUGCGGCUAGAUCUGUAAUGAAAUACAGCCCUUGCAACUGAUAACGUCCUGCUGCAAUUGAACUUCUACAAUUAAGGAAUAUUUUCCAGGAGGUCCUGUGGAACCGCUUAGAACGUUUCGUCUCGGUGGCGGGGUGCUUCUGAGCGCUUUCACGGCAAGUUUGUUUCGUUUUGCUUUUUUAAAGAGCGACAGGCCGAUGUUAACAAGGAAGAAAACGGGCAUUUUACUGAA